CCUAGAGGAAUAUGGAGAAAGGAAACAAUAGUUUAUUAGGACACAGCUAUUUUGAGAUGUUGAUGAUGACAAUUUUAAAAUGAAAAGCAGAAGCAAUUAAUUCAAGUUCUUUCCUAUCUCUUCAACAUUACAGUUGAAAAAUAUCAUGUCUAAGGUGAUCUCCUUUACAUAACUUCUCUCAAAUAUUUUCUACUUUUAUCAGUCUUGUAACUUUGGAAAUAUUUUCAAAAGCAAGCAAUCCAGAAAGUCAAUUAAGAGUUGUUUUAUCCUUUAUUCCUUUCCUUCUCUAAGUAUGCAGUUUGUUUCCCACCAGAAGUUCCCAAUAUACGGAAGGCUUUAAGAGGAUAAAAUUAAUGUGCAGAUCAAAGGUUGUCACUGUAACUCCUACCACUAUCACACACAGAGAGAUUUAGUUUAUGGUACCAAAAGCCAGCUCUCUCCAACAAAGAGUAUCUGGUCUCUUGUUCCACUAAAACACAUUCUAUCUCAGACUUUCUACAUCACGUGGAGAACUAGAGUGAUCUGGGCAGCAUCAAUAUUGGUGAGAGUGGAAAUCACUUGGCUCCUUUCUUCAGUUCUGAUUCCUAUUGGUCAUAUAAGACUUGAAGGAAUUUUGCUUUUGCUGGCCACUGUUGCUAUAGCCAGACUUGUCUUCUGAGCAUUCAGGGAAUGCAGGAAUGUGUGCAGUGACAUAGCUUCCAACUGAACCAUACCAUGCAGGGUGAAGAAAAGGUUAUGCUUUCAGAACACAUCAUGCUUUCCAAACAUAUUACCUACAAAGCUAUCGGUUUGCAGUUCCUCAGUGAUGAAGGAAUACAUCGGAAGUAGUACAAUUAGAUUAUACCGGUUGUUUUCUUGGUUUCUUUAUUCAUUUAUGUGAAUCUUACAUAUACAUGCGUGUUUAUGUAUGUAUGUACAUUAUAAGGGAAGUGUGGGGUCUGAACAUGGCAGCACUUCAGGCUGCCUGCAGAAUUAGGAGCAGAGAUGUAGCACAGCAUCCAUUCAAAGACAGUAAACCAUUUCCAAGGGACCUUAGGCCAGGCAACUUCAAAAAAUAUGGCUUAGAUUUUGAAGUACCCAGUGUGCAAAGCCUGGUUGCUCAUGCAUGCUCUAUCUGAAAUUUUAAUUGCUGUUGAUGAAUUUGGAAAUCUUGAGGUACACUGACUGACUGUAAACCUAGAAAAACUCCUAUUGCAUAAGUAUCACAGUGUUAAAUGAGAGAGAAAUUCACUCCCCCAAAUCUUUAAUCUGUUCUGUGUUCCAUACUGAUUCCCUGUCACUUCUGAGUGAAUGCAGUUUUAAUUACUGUCAUUACGUUCCUGGGUGGGGAGCAAUUCUCCUUCAGUCUGCAUAGCAGAAAACAAAACUCCAAAACAAGAGAACAUGUCAUUUGCUUUUGUAUUUUUUAUAGUUCAGAUAAAACUGGAGGCAGAAAUACCUUGGUACCUUGACUGAUACUGUACAGAACCAAUGAUGUUUUGUUGCAGCAUUCCUUCACUGUUCUUAUUGAACGUGUUAAUAGCUUAAAGUAUCCAUGAGAAAGUAUGCUUAAUUCACCUCUACAGAUGAAUUUACACUGGACAUAGAAAUUCAACAGUCCUUAUGGCACAACCAUCUGCUUUGCAGCAGUGGGGUCCAAAAAAUAAUAAUAACCCUUAAUGACAUAACCUGUUCUAUGCUUUGUACCAGAAGCUACUGGGUCAGCUGGAGGUAAUUCAGACAAAUAGAUUAAUGAGCUGACAAGUGGGAAGCAUAAAAACUACAAACCAGAUUUCUGAAUGUAACAGUCUAUUGUGAUACUGCUUCUUAUUGAAAAUAAUUUGGUGAGGAGAAAUAGAGUUUUUAGUCAUCCUUAAAUUAUUUUGUCACUUCCUCUGACUUUACUGUUUAAGAAAAUAGAUGUGUUUUUUCAAAGAUAAGUUUUAAAAAUAUGUAUGACUACAGUACGUGCUUAUCAGUACAACAAAGUUUAUUGCAUGCCAGAAUUCACCCAGGAGAUGAGAGGUGCCAGUAACUGACAGGUCUGGAUUGCUUUUGGCUUUAAUUACUCAACUGUAGACCUUACAUGGGGUUACCACACAAACAUCAGCUUCUUUCUGAUUCUGCAGACUUUGAGCCAUUCCCACUGAAAUGUCCUUGUGUUCUGUGUGCUGGCUGUUGUUUAUCACUCAAAAAUGUUCAUUGAACAGGGAGCAAAAAUAUUUCUCUUGAAAAUCAAGAGCUUGAUAGUGGUUUUGAAGCAUGUUGGCAUUCACUGUCACUUGCCUAAGGCCCUCACCUCACCUCUUUGCAUCUCUCCCUUUAUAAAACAAAACUACAAGAGUGUUUCAGGUGUGGCUACUUUCCAAACAAGCAAUUGUUCAUUCAAGAGAAAUCACCAUUAAAGAAAAAGAGAAGGGAGAAAACAAACAAAACACGAACCCCAGGACCGGCCACUUAUCCCCACAACAGUUACCUACAAAACAGAGAGGAGUUUGGAUUUGUGCCCAGGGAGUAAUGGAAACUGUGGCAGCACUGGUCAAAUACAAGUAUGGUGCCCUGUGUCAGGUCUGUCCUGGGCUGUGCCUCCUCUUAUGGCUUUACAGGCUGGUGUGGCAUGGCUAUAGCUCAGCCUGGAGUUCAGAAUAUGUCUGCUUUUAUUUUUUUAUUUUUACAAGAUCUGUUCAUUUACUUGCUUCUAAAUGUUACUUAGUUGAUAGCUCACUGAAGUUGGUCACUGAGUUUGUAUUUAAUUUUCUGCCCUUUCUUUACUGUAAAGGGAAAUACAUUUGUUCUAUCUCCUAUGCUUGUAGGGCAGUAACCACUACACCAGAAAGCUUCAGGUCCCAAAACACAUAGGUACCAAUGAGUUGUAGCUACUGACAGACAGAACAGAUGGCUAAAUACAUAAGAUGAGGGGCUGCCUUUGCACUAGCUAGCCUUAAACAAAUGGGUUGUGCUGUAAAUAAUUACUGCAUGAAGUGGAUUAGAGUGUAAUUUAGAUACUUAGCCCAUUUUUAAGCGGUAAAAAUAAUCAUUUGCAUUGUUGAAAACAUGUAUAAUUUAGUGACCCGGGUUCCACAAAUAAUAGCAUAAAGUAACAUGUUAGUCCAUUGGCCAUCUGUUUUGUUACAUUAACCUGAAUGCAAAUGUGUUUUAAUGCCAUUUCAAAGGGGUACAGGAUGGAGAUUCAAGCUUAGGAAUCAAAUAAGCAUUUCUAACCAAUAGUGUGGGGCUAACAGUGUAAAUACAGGUUUUAUUUUCAAUUCUGUUGUUCGGAUUGACCCUUAUUUUCUUCCCCCAGUCCGUGCAUCUUUUUGUGGCCCUUCUUCAAUCUCAGUGCUCUGCAACAUCGUUUUAUUUCACAGAUUGUUUAAGAAUGAUUUUUGCCCUGUGGUAGACUGGCUAUCUUUCUGUCCAAUGAUUGCUUUCUUCAAACUGGCUUUUACGUGUGUAUGUGUCAAUCUACUAUGCAUAGAUUCUAGUGAUUUUUAGAACAGUUGUACUAUAGCUAAGUGCAUAAAACAGAAUUAAAUGAUUAAAUGGGGCUGGAUUCAAAAUAUCUUGCUUUCCAACUAUAUAAAAACAGACAGCAUUUUCUAGCAGUAAUGCUUGCAUGGGAGCAUGCAGGACUCCUUAGCUUUCUGCUUUCUGAGUUUGGGAUGGAUGCUAAAUGUUCACUUUCACAUUGUUUUCUCUACUUCAAAUGCCAGACUGAAAACAGGUCAGUUACAGCAAAAUCACCAAUAUAUCAGUACUAAAUUAGCUAUGGUUUCUAGUAAUUAAAAGGUAAUUAGCUAUCAUUUCUAGUUCGUUCAUAAUGGUUUCUAGUUCUUUCAUACCUUAAGGCAGGUUUGAAAUAGAUAAAUAUAUAACCAUCUCAAUUAUAUACUUACCUCAUGCUAAAAGCAAGCUAAGAGUGUUCUCAGUGUUUACAAAUUCAUGACCUGGUUCAAUUUUGAACAUUCAAGAGAAUGAAAGCUGCAUUUCCAAAUUCAAGCAAGAUGUUAUAACCAGCCUAGGACCAAAAGAUUUUUAUGCAUCGUUUUCUGCCUUAUUAAUUUAACAAGAUCUUAGCAGAUGGCUCUUCCUACUGUUGACCAUCUCAGGCAGAGACUUCACUUUAUUAGAAUGACACUUUGUCUGAGAGGGAGAGAUUUUUACAUUAGGGUAUUUUAUAAACAGGUCAUCAAAUCCCACUCUACAACUGUGCAGUAAACAGAUGCACAGUACCAAAAUCCUUAUCACUUUAGAAGAAGCAUUCAAGCAAGUCUGCGGUAGUAAGCCUGCAAGCUUCAGGUAGUUUCUUAAAAGGUAACUAAAAACCUAAUUUUGCUUUUAGAAUUGUUGGAAACAACUCUGAAAGUGUAGUAGAGCCUGAGCUUCCUCCCAGUUUUACAUUGUAAUAGUUGUUGUGGUUGUUUUACACCAGGGAGGAAAAAAAAAACAACAGCAGAGUCAAAAGUGUAGGAAUGAUGAACCUUCCUGUCUGUGUAGAGAUUUUCUGUGAGAAAAAUCAGUUAUUUUAGAGGCUUUUUUGUUGGUGGUAGUGGUGGUUUUUCUUUUGGACAGAUUUGCAUCUUGAAUUGGUGAUAAAUUAAUCAACAUGAUUGUGCAGUGGAAAUUUAAAAGAGUAGCUUUCCAGUAGAGGUGAUAUUUGACUAUCUAAUAGCCCGGAAAGGUUAAUUGAAUAGUUCAGCCACUCAGGGAAGAGCUUAAAUAAAAACUUUCCUUGUUGAUUUAUCAGAUUCAAACUUAUUAGAAUUGCACUUCAGAAGAGGAGACCAAAAAAUCAGUAAUCCAUGAAGCAGGCUCAACAUUACUUCUGAAUUAAACUGGUAUUAUCAUUUUACUUUGAAUUACCACAUAUUUGCUAAGAUACUGUAUGUACAUUCUCUCUCCCGCUAAAAGGCACUUUUCUUAGCUUUUAACUGCUCACAUGUGAUGGGAAAACGUUGGGGAAAAUUUUUCUAAUAGUCUCAUCAGUCCUGAGUUUGCAUAACAACUUGUCCUGGGCCAAGCACACUUGUGCUUCUGUUGCAGAUGCCUUCUCAUUUAACAGUCUUUGUUUUGUUUUUUUCCCCUCUGUAACUCACUGACAUUCUCAGGAAGUAAAUCUGAUUAAUUUUUUUUUUUUUUUUUCGGUCAACUGUUCUUAAGUGCUCCUGAAGGGAACAUGCAGCUGGUUGGAAGGAGGUGACAGGUACUUAACGUUUACUUCUCUGAGUCACGGACUGGAUGGUGGCUGUGCACUGCGUUGGUAACACUCCAUUUCAUCUCAACUACUGAACCUAAGAACAUGUAGUAGUUAUCAGCCACACUGAAAAAUGUGGAAAAUACAUUAUUUGUAGUAUUUUUCAUUUAAAUAGGUAGCUGCUGUGAAGAAGCACAUUAUUCUACUCCUGCAACUUCCUUUCUGAAAAGAAAAACAAAUUUGCUACCUAAUGAACACUUAAUUCUUACAGUGCUCUCUUACUUCUGAUGAACUUUAAGAUGCGUGGAUGCAAAGCGUGCUGAAGAUGCAACGUGUGAUUACUUGUUAGAAACAGCAACAGAAGCUUCUAUGCACGUGAUCUGAAGAGAUAGCCAGACGUGGUUUGCUGAACUGUAGAAUGCCUUACCUGUAGAAUGCCUUACCUUACCUUUUGAUUUUCUCCUUGAUCUCAGUUGUAAGAAGUGGAUCAACCUAUAAAAAUCAAAAACAGA